rnacentral:rRNA from 1 species
UAGUGAAAACCGGCGAUAAAUCAUUCAAGCUCUGACCUAUCAGCUUUCGACGGUAUGGUAUUGGCUUACCGAGCAGAGACGGUAUAACGGGGGAUUAGGGCUCGAUUCCGGAGAGGGAGCCUGAGAAACGGCUACCACAUCUAAGGAAGGCAGCAGGCGCGCAAAUUACCCAAUUCUAACAGCAUAAGAGAGGUAGUGACAAGAAAUAACAAUACAAGGCAGAUAAAAUGCUUUGUAAUUGGAAUGAUAGAAAUUUAAACACUUUUUAAAGUAUCAAUUGGAGGGCAAGUCUGGUGCCAGCAGCCGCGGUAAUUCCAGCUCCAAUAGCGUAUAUUAAAAUUGUUGCAGUUAAAAAGCUCGUAGUUGAAUUUCUGCUAAAAAUAACCGGUCUGCUUUUAAUAAAGGUGGUAUCUUGGGUGUUUUAGCAAUAAUGUCCUUUGAAAUGUUUUUUACUUCAUUGUAAUAAAUAUCUUCAGGAUUUUUACUUUGAGAAAAUUAGAGUGUUU